GGAGGGAUGGCCGAGUGGUUUAUGGCGCACGCUUGGAAAGCGUGUUCACGGCAACGUGUCCAGGGUUCGAAUCCCUGUCUCUCCGCGA
rnacentral:tRNA from 2 species